UUCUUUUCAGCCAGAAUCUCGCUAUUCAGGAGAUUUCUGCGACUCGAACAGGUAUUGAGCAAUGAGCGAAUCUGUUUUCGGUGAUUUCAGAAGCUGAAGAAUGAUGGAAAGAAAGGGCGGGCUUCCUUUUUUGGGCUCGACUGACACUUAUGCCAAAUGAAGGCUCUUGGUAUUUUUUUUCUUGCACAGGUUCCCCCUCUCUCCGUCUCUUCCUUGUUCGCACAAGCAAGAGAAAGAGGCCGAAGCCCCUCCAUUUCUUCGCUCCAUCUCUGCUGCUCGUGAACUCUAGGAUCAAACAGAAGCCCAGCCUCUGCUUCUCCUCUGUUCGGACCGAGCCAGGACCAAAGUCUCGUCGCCUUUCUUGCGUGGAAGCUGAUGACUUCCUUUCUCCCUUGGAUAUGGAUUCAAAGCGAAAUGAAAACCCUUUAUAAGGAAUUUCUUCUCACUUGGAUAUCCUAUUGGAUGAUGCAACAUAAGGAGCAUGAAGGGAAAGAAGAUGAAGAUAAACAAAAUACCUCAUUUUUAAGACUUGCAUCAUUUCAUAGGGAUAGAAUCCGGGUUGUUGUCGAUGGAGCCCGGUCACCUCUACUUUUCAGUACUUAUUGGGUUGUAAAAUAAGUGGCAUUUGCCACAGACUUUUGGAUACUAUGAUUAAUAUUAUUAAUGUGAUGAUAUGUUUACUUUGCUUA